GGGUGGUAAUGCCGGAUGCUCCAGUUGAUCGCAUGGUCUUCUGGGAAAGCUUUCGCGGUAUGGGAUGGGGUCGCGUCCUAUCAGCUUGACGGCGGGGUAACGGCCCACCGUGGCUUCGACGGGUAGCCGGCCUGAGAGGGCGACCGGCCACAUUGGGACUGAGAUACGGCCCAGACUCCUACGGGAGGCAGCAGUGGGGAAUAUUGCACAAUGGGCGCAAGCCUGAUGCAGCGACGCCGCGUGAGGGAUGGAGGCCUUCGGGUUGUAAACCUCUUUUAUCGGGGAGCAAGCGAGAGUGAGUUUACCCGUUGAAUAAGCACCGGCUAACUACGUGCCAGCAGCCGCGGUAAUACGUAGGGUGCAAGCGUUAUCCGGAAUUAUUGGGCGUAAAGGGCUCGUAGGCGGUUCGUCGCGUCCGGUGUGAAAGUCCAUCGCUUAACGGUGGAUCCGCGCCGGGUACGGGCGGGCUUGAGUGCGGUAGGGGAGACUGGAAUUCCCGGUGUAACGGUGGAAUGUGUAGAUAUCGGAAAGAAACACC
rnacentral:rRNA from 1 species